rnacentral:rRNA from 1 species
CCUACGGGAGGCAGCAGUGGGGAAUAUUGGGCAAUGGGCGCAAGCCUGACCCAGCAACGCCGCGUGAAGGAAGAAGGCUUUCGGGUUGUAAACUUCUUUUCUCAGGGACGAAGAAAGUGACGGUACCUGAGGAAUAAGCCACGGCUAACUACGUGCCAGCAGCCGCGGUAUUCCGUGGGUGCAAGCGUGAUCCGGAUUUACUGGGUGGAAAGGGCGGGUAGGCGGGACUGCAAGUCAGAUGUGAAAACCCCGGGCUCAACCUGGGGCCUGCAUUUGAAACUGGAGUUCUUGAGUAAUGGAGAGGCAGACGGAAUUCCUGGUGUAGCGGUGAAAUGCGUAGAUAUCAGGAGGAACACCAGUGGCGAAGGCGGUCUGCUGGACAGCAACUGACGCUGAGGCGCGAAAGCGUGGGGAGCAAACAGGAUUAGAUACCCUUGUAGUC